rnacentral:rRNA from 1 species
CCUACGGGAGGCAGCAGUGGGGAAUAUUGCACAAUGGGGGAAACUCUGAUGCAGCGACGCCGCGUGAGUGAAGAAGUAAUUCGUUAUGUAAAGCUCUAUCAGCAGGGAAGAAAAUGACGGUACUUGCGUCAGAAUCCCCGGCUAACUACGUGCCAGCAGCCGCGGCAAUACGUCGGGGGCAAGCGUUAUCCGGAUUUACUGGGUGUAAAGGGAGCGUAGACGGCAGUGCAAGUCUGGAGUGAAAGGCGGGGGCUCAACCCCCGAACUGCUCUGGAAACUGUACGGCUGGAGUGCAGGAGAGGUAAGUGGAAUUCCUAGUGUAGCGGUGAAAUGCGUAGAUAUUAGGAAGAACACCAGUGGCGAAGGCGGCUUACUGGACUGUAACUGACGUUGAGGCUCGAAAGCGUGGGGAGCAAACAGGAUUAGAUACCCCUGUAGUC